GACGAACGCUGGCGGCGUGCUUAACACAUGCAAGUCGAGCGGUAAGGCCCCUUCGGGGGUACACGAGCGGCGAACGGGUGAGUAACACGUGAGCAAUCUGCCCAUCACAUCGGGAUAACUCCGGGAAACCGAAGCUAAUACCGAAUACGACCACCUCCGGCAUCGGAUGGUGGUGGAAAGUUCCGGCGGUGAUGGAUGAGCUCGCGGCCUAUCAGCUUGUUGGUGGGGUAACGGCCCACCAAGGCUUCGACGGGUAGCCGGCCUGAGAGGGUGACCGGCCACACUGGGACUGAGACACGGCCCAGACUCCUACGGGAGGCAGCAGUGGGGAAUAUUGGACAAUGGGCGAAAGCCUGAUCCAGCAACGCCGCGUGAGGGAUGACGGCCUGCGGGUUGUAAACCUCUUUCAGCAGGGACGAAGCGCAAGUGACGGUACCUGCAGAAGAAGCGCCGGCCAACUACGUG
rnacentral:rRNA from 1 species